rnacentral:rRNA from 1 species
UAAAAACCCCGACUUCGGAAGGGGUGUAUUUAUUAGAUACAAAACCAAUGCCCUUCGGGGCUCUUUGGUGAUUCAUGAUAACUAUACGAAUCGCACGGCCUUGCGCCGGCGAUGGUUCAUUCAAAUUUCUUCCCUAUCAACUUUCGAUGUUUGGGUAUUGGCCAAACAUGGUUGCAACGGGUAACGGAGGGUUAGGGCCCGACCCCGGAGAAGGAGCCUGAGAAACGGCUACUACAUCCAAGGAAGGCAGCAGGCGCGCAAAUUACCCAAUCCCGACUCGGGGAGGUAGUGACAAUAAAUACUGAUACAGGGCCCUUUCGGGCCUUGUAAUUGGAAUGAGUACAAUUUAAAUCCCUUAACGAGGAACAAUUGGAGGGCAAGUCUGGUGCCAGCAGCCGCGGUAAUUCCAGCUCCAAUAGCGUAUAUUAAAGUUGUUGUGGUUAAAAAGCUCGUAGUUGAACCUUGGGCCUGGCUGGCCGGUCCGCCUCACCGCGUGCACUGGUCCGGCCGGGCCUUUCCCUCUGUGGAACCCCAUACCCUUCACUGGGCGUGGCGGGGAAACAGGACAUUUACUUU